rnacentral:misc_RNA from 1 species
GUUUCCACGCAAUUUUCAGCGUACGCUCUAUGAAACUAUUGAAGUUGCUACGUCGCGAACGAAUCGUUGGAGAAUGAAACGAAGGGUUGCUACGCACCUGAGUUGUGUAAAUGCUCGUUAUUCGAAUUCAAGGGUGAAUCGUGCCUGGAGGGUGGAGCAGGACUUCCUCGGCUCGCUGGGAGAUCGUAAAGGUGAGCGUGUACUAAUUGCUGAACGAAGAAAAAAUUUGGGUAAUUAGCAUUGAAUCGGAGCUCUACCUUUUGCGUCUUUGUGCGGUCGGAAUAAGAAUUACCUACAUACGCAUGGAAUUCUGGAUAUGUGAGAAAUCUUUGGAU